GCAAACUUGGUCAUUUAGAGGAAGUAAAAGUCGUAACAAGGUUUCCGUAGGUGAACCUGCGGAAGGAUCAUUAUCGAUUUUGACUUGUCGGGGCUCUGUGCUGGUCCUCCUGGGCAUGUGCACGUCCCCUUCAUUGUUUUCCACACACCUCGUGCACCCUCCCAGGUGGCCCCCCUGUCAUGGGGGUGUGCCGCCUUUUUUGAACACACGCCUUUUUUGUGUAUUUUGGCAUGUCUUUUUUUGAAUAAGUAACAACUUUCAACAACGGAUCUCUUGGCUCUCGCAUCGAUGAAGAACGCAGC
rnacentral:misc_RNA from 1 species